GGCGCCUUCCCUACGGGGAUGAAGACCCUGACAGGCGGGCCCCGCCUGUCAGGGGCUCGUGGCGGGCGCGCGUGGGGCACUGGGCCGGCUGGGCUGCGGUGCGCGCGCGAGGGAUGACCUGGUUCGGCCCAAUUAGGCCGGGCCAGUCCGGUUUUCUCUUUUUUUCUUUUCCCUUUUCUUUUUCCUUUUUUGUUUUUUCUUUGAUAACUUUUGAUUUUGAACUUCAGAUUGAUCCAAAUAAAUUCCAGAAAAUUUGCAAAAUCAUGUUUUAUCAUGAUUCAAGUUUUGGGAGUAAUUUCCCCUAAAAAUAAAAUAUAUAAAAAUACAUUUUCCCUAUAAAUCCCUUUAGGGCUAUAUAACUAUUUAAAUAAAAUAGUUUUUCAACUCCAAAUAAAUAUCCAAAAAUUAUGGGAUAGCUUAUUUAUGCAAUAAACCCAUUUUAUAGUUAAACCCUAUUGGUUUAAAGAUCCAAAGCUCAAAUGGGUGAAACCCUAGGGUUUAAAAUGAAGUAAAAACCUUUUUAAAGCCUUUUGAGAUUCAAAUUUGAAUUCAA
rnacentral:lncRNA from 1 species